UCGGAUCAGGUAGGAAUACCCGCUGAACUUAAGCAUAUCA
rnacentral:rRNA from 1 species